GCAUGCGUGUAUACACAACUUGUGAUGGGAGGGAUUUUUGAGCGGGACCAAGAAAAGGGGCGAGUGGCGGUCGUGGAAAAAGAAACGUUCCCACGGACAUAAUAAUUUACGUUGUGAUUCGAGACUUAUUUAAGUCAGUGGGGCUGGGUAGCGAGAAUAACGCGAUUUUGGUUACCUACCUAUACUACGUGCAAUUAUUCCGGUACAAACCUAAUUAGGCAAUAACUUAAUCUACAUUUCAAUGGUUGUCUAAAAUUCUUUCAAGAGCCGUUUGUCACCUUAAGGCUCUUACCCCUAAGUACUGGAAAUUGGAAAAAAUAUAUAGUAGCCGCCCCUGACGUCACGUGGGACGCAAAUUUAUUACCUGCACAAGUAACUGCGGAAUACCAAGCGCUGUUCCUGAUGAUAAGAUUUUAAUUCUAUGGUGAUAAGCCGCCAUCCCACCGUCCACCUGUAUGUACGUGCUGUCCAUGUGGAUAAUGGUUCACACAAUGCUCUGAGGUUUGAGAUAACAAAAUUUGAAAGGAGAUGUCAAGUUUAUUUGUUUAAAUUAAGCAUAUUUGUCUAUUAUUAAUUGUCCAUCCUAG